CCGUGGUGCCCAGCCUAUGCCCUUCAGUGAUUAGGACUGAGCACAGAGGGCUCACCAUGGAGCUUGUGCUGAGCUGGGUUUUCCUGGUUGCUCUUUUAAAAGGUGUGCAGUGUGAGGUGCAGCUGGUGGAGUCUGGAGGAGACUUGGUGCAGGCUGAGGGGUCCCUGAAACUCUCCUGUGUGACCUCGGGAUUCACCUUCAGCAAUUACUAUAUGUACUGGUUCCGCCAGGCUCCAGGAAAGGGCCUAGAGUGGGUUGGUUUCAUUAGAAACAAGGCUAAUAGUUAUACAACAGAAUAUGCUACAUCUGUGAAAGGCAGAUUCACCAUUUCCAGGGAUGAGGCCACAAGUACACUGUAUCUGCAAAUGAACAGCCUGAAAGUUGAGGACACAGCCGUGUACUACUGUGCUAGAGACACAGUGAGGCAACCUCAAUUUGAGCCCAGACACAAACUUCCCUGCUGUGGUGCGCAGGACCAGCAGGGGUCGCACAGGUCACACGGAGCUCAGUGUCAGCCCAGGACAGGUGCAGAGGGUGGCCCAGUGUGA